CAUUAUUUCAAACAUAAAAGGCCGUUUCUUAUUAACAUCUGUAGAACUGAGAUGGGCUUGGUUGUUUCUUCUUCUCCAUCUCUCAGUCACCAAACCUCUUCUGGUCAGUGUGAUUUUUAUUUCUUACUUAAGGUCACACCAGGAAUUGUUUUUUAUACAACUGCCCAAAUUCUCCUUCAUGAACAUUUUCAGUGAAGGUUCAGUCUCCAGCCUCAGGGUUCCUUGGUUCCUCUGUGUCUCUACACUGUGCUCUUGUAAACAACAUGGAUGCUCGAAACCUGGAAGUGAGCUGGUACCGUCCCAAAAUGCAAAACACCCCGAUCCUGUCCUACAAGAACACACAGAUCCAGAGUCCUGUAGAUGUUCAGUACCAGCGCAGAGUGUUCCUGUUAGGAGAACUGGAGAAAGGAGAUGUCUCUCUGAAGCUGGGAGAACCUGACGCUAGCAGAUAGGUAGA
ensembl:lncRNA